GGUGACUGAAUUCCCCAGUGAUCAGAGCCAGGGCAGCAUGAUUUUUUGCAAAGAGAACACUGCAGAUCUAUGCACACAUCUCUUGCUGGAAAAUGUCCAAGGUACCCAGCGUGCAUAUGCAAGGCCAAAACGUGGAAGAUUUGGGAGCAGCUCUCUUCUAUUUCAUCUUGAGCAGAAGCAUGGCUGAUGUUGCCAAUGGUACAUAAAGGGGCAUGCCUAUGGACAGGAUUUUCCAUGCCAUGUGCUAUGAAGUUUGUGUUUGGGUCAAAGGAAGUACUAGCCACAUAGCAAAAGGAAUAGAAAGGACAGCUGCCUCAUUUCCAUUUGGUCUUCAAUCCUGGCUUCUUACCUCUGGAGGAACUUUUCUACCAACUGAAGCUCUCAGCAAAGGACUGAGUUACCCAUCCAGGCUGUGGAUGUGUUCCAGAUGACCUUUCAAGCCAGCCAACUCACCAAGGCAGCUAAGAACCUGAUAUAUGGACUUUGAAGUCUCUGUAUGUAUC